rnacentral:rRNA from 1 species
CGUGUAGGCGGCUUGGUAAGUCGGAUGUGAAAGUCCCGGGCUCAACCCGGGAAGUGCAUUCGAAACUGCUAGGCUUGAGUAAGAGAGAGGAAAGUGGAACUCCUGGUGUAGAGGUGAAAUUCGUAGAUAUCAGGAGGAACACCGGUGGCGAAGGCGGCUUUCUGGCUCUAUACUGACGCUGAGACGCGAAAGCGUGGGUAGCAAACAGGAUUAGAUACCCUGGUGGUCC